rnacentral:rRNA from 1 species
UACAGAGGGUGCGAGCGUUAAUCGGAAUUACUGGGCGUAAAGCGUGCGUAGACGGUUUCGUAAGUCGGGUGCGAAAUCCCCGGGCUCAACCUGGGAAUUGCAUUCGAAACUGCGAGGCUAGGGUACGGAAGAGGGAAGCGGAAUUUCUGGUGUAGCGGUGAAAUGCGUAGAUAUCAGAAGGAACAUCAGUGGCGAAAGCGGCUUCCUGGUCCAGUACCGACGUUCAGGCACGAAAGCGUGGGGAGCAAACAGG